rnacentral:tRNA from 1 species
UCCAUAGUGGCUCAGAUGGUAAAGCAUCUGCCUGCAAUGCAGGAGACCCAGGUUCAAUCCCUGGGUAGAGAA